GGAAAUGUGGCGUAGAAGUUAGCGUAUUUGGUUUGGGUCCAAAAGGUCAAAGGUUAGAAUCCUUUCAUUUUGA
rnacentral:tRNA from 1 species